CUAAAAUAUACUCAAAAAUAUUGGCAAAUAGGUUAGCUCACAUAUAUAUUUCCACUUCUAAUUGAUCAUGGUGGGCUUAGUUUUAAACUGUCAGGCCCUGGAUAGCACUAGACGCUAUAUUAAUUUGAUUCAACACAUUGAAUUGAACCGCACGCCUUCUCUGCUCCUAUCUUUAGAUGCAGAGAAGGUGUUCAAUAGGAUACAUUGGGAUUUUUUAAAAAUAAGUUAUGUCGAGGUUUCAUAUUCCAGAUUCCUUCAUCAGAGCUAUGUUUGCAUUGUACUGUAAUCCAACGGCCACGGUGUCCACAACUGGCUUUGUAUCUGACAGUUUUGCAUUAUCAGGACCAGGCAGGGCUGCCCAUUGUCGCCAUUGUUAUUCAUGCCGGCAAUGAAGCCUUUGGCUGAGUCCAUAAGACAGUGUGUGGACAUGAAGGGUAUUGUGGUAGGAGAAAGGGAACAUAAAAUAGGCUUAUUUGCAGAUGACAUUAUGCUAUCAUUGAAAAAUCCCUCGACCUCAGUCCAAUCAUUAAUGUCUAUCUUGCAAGAAUUUGGCAAAAUUUCUUAUUAUAAAUUAAACACAAAUAAAACUCAGACGCUAUACUUUUUUGUCCCACGGCACAUAUUGAACUCUUUAAAAGAGGACUUCGACUGGAGGGAUUCAUAUAUCUCCUAUGUAGGUAUUUAUCUCUGUAAGAACCUGUCAAAGAUGCAUGCAUAUAAUUUAGCUAAGGUCUGGCCUGCUUUUUGGGAAAUUUCUUGGUUGGGCAGAAUAAAUUCGGUCAAAAUGUCUCUCCUUAGUAAACUUUUUUACUUUCUAUAAAGAUGGCUAUCCCUCUCACUAUACCUUCCUCUUUUUAAAGAAUGUUCACUCUGCCCUUCUGGCAUUUGUCUGGAAUAAAAAUCCUUGCAGAAUUCAGCUGGCUAUUAUACAAAAACUCAGGGUUAGUGGAGGUAUGGGUUUGCUGAAUUUGAGUCAGUAUGAUGUUACAACAAAUGCAGCUAAUGCUCUUUUAAAUUUAAUUUGGUACAUCGUUGCCCGCUGUGGUUGGAGAUGGAGGCUACUAAGAUUUCUCCUUAUAAGAUAACUGAAGUGCUAUGGUCACCUUCCUCUCUUCCGCUGUGGAUGGCAAACAUGUUUCCAACCACCAAGACCAGUGUUAAGGCUUGGGAUGUUGUAUUUAAAAAAUUAAACAUUCUGUUUUUUGGUCCAAGGCUACUCUCGAUGUUGCGAUUCUCAUUUCCUGAUCUGUGUCAGGGUCUUACCUGGGUUGGGAGUCUGCAGAUAGCCACAGGCCAAGGUGGUCAGGUAAGAAUUCACCUGGCCUGUGGGUCUGUGCAUGGGGGCUGUGCAGGAUGAAGUACCAAGUCUCAGGACAGGCAAGGACUCAAACAACAGGAUCGUCAAGGGAUAGCCGAGCUCAAAGGAUGCCAGAGGACAGGAUCAACAAGGAGUAGCCGAAGUCAAGGGAUGCCAGAGGUCAGAGUAAACGUAGUCAGAAGCCGGGGUCAAUAAUAAGUAGCAGAUCAAAUGACAGGAACACUGGUACGGAACACACAACAGGAUCAAAGACUUGAUCCUGAUCACAGGGCGAGGCAGUGUUUAAAUACCCUGCUGAUGUCUGAUCAAGGUCAGGUGAAGCACAACCAUAGUCAAGGUACAGCCCCCAGAAUAAUAGACAUGCCAGGAUGAACAGGACUGGAAUGAUUUGUUGAUAUAUAAAGCUGCUGUGGCGCAGAGGUAGGAAGCAGGACCAGGAC